rnacentral:rRNA from 1 species
AUUGAACGCUGGCGGCAGGCCUAACACAUGCCAGUCGAGCGGAUGAAGGGAGCUUGCUCCUGGAUUCAGCGGCGGACGGGUGAGUAAUGCCUAGGAAUCUGCCUGGUAGUGGGGGAUAACGUCCGGAAACGGGCGCUAAUACCGCAUACGUCCUGAGGGAGAAAGUGGGGGAUCUUCGGACCUCACGCUAUCAGAUGAGCCUAGGUCGGAUUAGCUAGUUGGUGGGGUAAAGGCCUACCAAGGCGACGAUCCGUAACUGGUCUGAGAGGAUGAUCAGUCACACUGGAACUGAGACACGGUCCAGACUCCUACGGGAGGCAGCAGUGGGGAAUAUUGGACAAUGGGCGAAAGCCUAAUCCAGCCAUGCCGCGUGUGUGAAGAAGGUCUUCGGAUUGUAAAGCACUUUAAGUUGGGAGGAAGGGCAGUAAGUUAAUACCUUGCUGUUUUGACGUUACCAACAGAAUAAGCACCGGCUAACUUUGUG